CUUGGUUCCCGCGGUGCCCUCGGGCCCCGGAGGCGGCGUCUUCUCCCCUCCGGUUUGGGAUGAAUUUUCUCCCGUUUCCCCAGGAGACAGUGACUGCCUUGGGAGACAUAUCGAUCCCAAGCUUCUCGGGACUCCACUUUCCUCCAUAUUGGCCGUUCCCUGGCGGGGUUAACCUUCCUCCCCGCCCCCAGCGUGUUUCAGGGCUGGCAGGGAAGGUUCCCGCCGCGCUGAGUCUAGGGCACAGGGUCAUGGAAGGCGGGAAACCAGGAAACUCCACUCCUUACUUCACAGUCCUGCCAGCUGCCUCACAGUGCGAGGCAAAAAUGGAGGAACACUGAAGAAAUGAAAGUCAGAAGAACUUCCAGGAAUCGCGCACUUCGCCCUCAAACAUUGAGAAUGCUCUAGAGGGCUGUUCGCCUAUGCUGAUUCGCUGAACUGAACAGGGAGCAGAAACCCCAGGGCACACUCCAUGUAAGACCAGAUGCUGGAACGAUCAGACACAGGACCCAAGCCCUUUGGAGCCUCCAUUUAUCGACUAUCAAAGGAGGAUGCGUUGUGAAGAAGCACGAACGGGAGGGAGUGUGAACUCUGCCUGUUAGCUGAUUCACUCAACCACCCUCUACCGCUCCCACCCCUGGGCUUGGUGCUGGGACAGCGAUGACGGGGAGAGGGUCCUGCCUCACAGGACUACAACAGCCAAAGGGCUGUGGGUGCAAGGGGGACAGGGCAGGUGUUCUGCCUCUUUAGGGGAGGCCUUGAAGGGGAAGGUGGAGCCCUGAAGCAUGAGUCUGCAGAAGUAGCAAUCAUUCAAUAAAUACAUGCUGAUUUAUUACAGGGAUAAGAUGGUUUCUUGGGGGAUAGAUUCAAGAGGAGUUGAGAAUGUUUUAUUCAUUUAC
rnacentral:lncRNA from 1 species